AUGUUGUAACAUGACUAUAUGGUGAAAGAUGAUAAUAUGGAUCUUAUUAUAGAAGAACCAAAUUAAAAGAUAAAGUAGAAAAAUAUGGAUAAAAGAUAGGAAGACAGUAAAACUUUUAAUAGUAGUACUACCUUUUUAAAAAAGUGACUUCUACUUACUUUGUAGAGCCAUAAAUAAAGCAAAAUAAGGUAGAUUGGAAAAAUAAAUAAUAUAAGUAUCUUUAGGAGAAAGUUAAGAGUAAACUCU
rnacentral:lncRNA from 1 species